UUCGAACGUUCAUUACGCGGUCAAUUUAUGGCCGCAAUUUGAUGCCACUAGAGGCUGCAGGCUCGUAAUUUUGGGACGAUGUUUGCCGCGCGGAGGCAGACGAAAGCCGCCAUUUUGCAGCCGCCAUUUUGAAUUUCACCAUCAAAUAAAUUUUAAAAAAAUCUUGAAUAAUAAACGAAUUCAAAAAGCAAAACCCGAA